GAUGAACGCUGGCGGCGUGCUUAACACAUGCAAGUCGAACGGAAAGGCUCCUGCUUGCAGGGGUCCUCGGGUGGCGAACGGGUGAGUAACACGUGGGUGAUCUGCCCAGCACUUCGGGAUAAGCCUGGGAAACUGGGUCUAAUACCGGAUAGGACGAUGGUUUGGAUGCCAUUGUGGAAAGUUUUUUCGGUGUGGGAUGAGCUCGCGGCCUAUCAGCUUGUUGGUGGGGUAAUGGCCUACCAAGGCGUCGACGGGUAGCCGGCCUGAGAGGGUGUACGGCCACAUUGGGACUGAGAUACGGCCCAGACUCCUACGGGAGGCAGCAGUGGGGAAUAUUGCACAAUGGGCGCAAGCCUGAUGCAGCGACGCCGCGUGGGGGAUGACGGCCUUCGGGUUGUAAACUCCUUUCGCUAGGGACGAAGCGCAAGUGACGGUACCUGGAGAAGAAGCACCGGCUAACUACGUG
rnacentral:rRNA from 1 species